GACGAACGCUGGCGGCGUGCUUAACACAUGCAAGUCGAACGAUGAAGUUCCUUCGGGAAUGGAUUAGUGGCGAACGGGUGAGGAACACGUGAACAAUCUGCCCCUUACACGGGAAUAACUUCGGGAAGCCGAAGCUAAUACCCGAUAUUGAAUCCGGUAGGCAUCUACUGAAUUUGAAAUGGUCCGCCGGUAAGGGAUGAGUUCGCGGCCUAUCAGCUUGUUGGUGAGGUAACGGCUCACCAAGGCGACGACGGGUAGCCGGCCUGAGAGGGCGACCGGCCAAACUGGGACUGAGACACGGCCCAGACUCCUACGGGAGGCAGCAGUGGGGAAUAUUGCGCAAUGGACGAAAGUCUGACGCAGCAACGCCGCGUGAGGGAUGACGGCCUUCGGGUUGUAAACCUCUUUCAAUCGGGACGAAGCGAAGGUGACGGUACCGAUACAAGAAGCACCGGCUAACUAUGUGCCAGCAGCCGCCGUAA
rnacentral:rRNA from 1 species